AUCUUUUUGUAGUUCAUAAGCAUGAUGACUGGGUGUUCACACUUUUGUGUGACAUACGCCUCCCUCAAACCUUGUUACAACAUUGGCACAUUAUUCGACAUGAAA